rnacentral:rRNA from 1 species
GUUGUGAACCACUGCCCUAAAGGCACUAGAUCCCAUCUGAUCUUGGAAGCUAUGCAGGGUUGGUCCUGGUUAAUACUUGGAUAGGAGACUGCCAAUGAAUGCCAGGUGCUGUAAGCU